ACUGAAAGUACUUGUGAUAUCGUCACAGCCCAAAACAUUCUGGAAAAUGAAGGUCCUGCUGAGGGGAUCCACCGUAUCCAGUUUACACUGACAGAUCUCCGGGACGGCUUCACAGGUGAACUGCGUGAUCUGCGAAUAACGUCACGGCAUGAACCAACUAUCAAUACAAAAACAGCGGUGUGACCUUGAUGUUCCAAGCAUGCAUUCCUUGAUAAAAAUCCAUAGGCCAGGUAAUAUUUGUCUUCUACCCACUGUAUGAAUCCAUCUUCUGAUUUGUGAGUGAGAUAGGAGGGGAAAACAUAGCUGAGCUUAUUGAUGAUAUUUGAAGCAGUUGCAUAUAUUCUGCUUUUCAACUAACUUAAAAUACCUAGAUAUUUCUUUUUGCAGAGUUGGUUUGAAAUCAAACAGCAAGUUUAUGAAUGUGGGGACAAAGAGAAAAUGAAGGUCAUUUAGAUACAUUUUGUAAUUCAGAUACUAGGGGUGUGCAAAUCUUUGAUUUUAAAUCAUAAGUCAUAUGUAAUUUGUAAGUUUUGUAUAUACAAACAGAUAUUAAGAAACACAAGGGUGGUGCCCACACAAAAACUUAAGAAUCAAAACAUAUCCAAUGCUUUUUUGUUUGAAUUCUGUCAAAGGUCAGACGCCAACUGAGAGCCAAAAUAUAGUUUAUUAAAGUAAUAGUCCAAAAACAGUUCAGUAAAUUAUCAGAGACUUAAAACACUUAAUCUCUAGUAUUAUUAGGCAGUCAGAACAGAAAAAACACCAAAAGCAUGAACUGGCAUAUAAUCCGGAUUAACCAGAGAUAUAAUCCGGAUUUAACAUAGAGUACUUGAACUCAGCCCAAAAGCUCAAAAUGGGCUUAAAAUGGCAAAACAAACAAAGGUAAACAGUUACGAAGCCCCCAAAACUUUCCCAAAACCCAGGAGUACAACAGCGAUUCCAAACUGAAACAAAAACCCAAACAGGGCUAAAAGCUCUUUGCUGUGAGCGGCAAAAACAAGCGGAACUGGAAGACGCUAAAGAGCUAGCGGCAAACCACUGCAGAGACGAAAGCCAAGCCAGGAAUUAAAGGAGCAGAACGCUGUAAUGUAGUCAAGCCGGUCCGAAGACAGGAUAAGGAGACAGCAUCAGGGUCGGGAACGAAGCCAGUAGUCAGCAAUAGUAGAAAGCCACAGAGAACAAUGCCAAGCCGAGUUUGUGAGCGAAGAGAUAAGCCAGGUCGAGUUCCAGUCCAAGGUCCAAUGGGUGAAAUCGUCACAAGAAGGUCCACGUCAUGGAAUAGCACAAAGAGCCAAGACAACGAAGGCGAGCAGCAGAUCUGUUGCAAAGUCCCAAGCCAGUCUUCAGAAUCACGUACAGGAAACCCAAUGGCGCCCAGCAACACCUUGCCACACGCAAAGCAUAGUGACCAAACAUCCCCAAUUUAUUUAGGUUUCCUUGGGCGUCCAAACCUCUAACGCCCUAGGAUCAGGUGUCCCAAACUCCUCAUCAGAAUCUGAGCUCCAAACAGCCAACACCCUUGGAUCAGGCGUCCCAAACUCCUCAUCAGAAUCAAGAUCAUCCUGCCCACACCCAACUCUGUCCACACCUGUGGAACUACCCUCAUUCCUCCAGGCAGACCAUGUGGGAUCUGCUUCUGAAGAUACCCAAGCCUCUCCAGCAUCUACAGCAUCCAUGGACCCAGAUUCCUCCCCAAGAUCCUCCGGAGCCCGUGCCCAAUCUAUGCCAACUUCCUCCGUCACCACUGGUUCCUCAGCAUCCACUUCCACCUCAAGAUCCACUCCCAAAUCCUCACAUGAAUCUUCCUCGGAAGACUCCUCAUCAAUCUCCCUGAUUCUCUUCCUGUGUAAAUCUUCCAGCGAGCCCUCCUCGCGAGGGUUCUUCCUUCCUCUCCUGAUCCCACCAUUAUUACUCACAGCCUCAGAAGACUCAUUCACAACAAAUUCUGUAAUGCUCAAAAGUCAGUUUCAUAUUCAGCGUAAGUGAGGCAAAGCCAAAAAGGCUGCCAUUCCUCUUUAAACUAAGAAGAGAUAGGCUGCCUCUUGUCAUAAGGAAAGGAAAGCAGCAAGGCACGACAAGCUGUGUGAGCUGGGAAAGAGACUCAGAGAGCACAGAAUUCUGGGAAAUAUAGUUUGGGAAGGUGAGGAGCCCUAUGCCAGAGGAUUCAAAAGGUCCUGCCCUCAACUACAUUUUAUUUUAAAAUUCCCCAAAAUCAGUAGAUGUAUGAAUAUUUCUGAAAGUUGGGGGAAAUGAUCCCCUGCUAUCUUGUGUCAUUGAAUAGAAAAUUCAAGGAGAUAGCUCUUGUAGUUUUUUUUAAAAAGGUUGUUUGUAAAAACUGAAAAAUUCUCCAAAAAUCCGUGGAUGAGUGAAAAGUUUUGAAACUGGAUGGGCUAACAGUAGUAAAUGUGUUCUAUAAUCGCAGCAUGUUUCAUACCAAUAACUCUAACAAUGAGGAAGAAAGGAGCUCCUGAAGUGACCCCAUUGGCACAAUUAAUUACUUAACAUAAAGUAACAAAAAGUAGUUAACUCGUUAUAGUUACCAUACGGACCCCGUUCAAUUUCGCAAACACUUUAGAAACAAUUUUUCCACCACCCCCUAAUUUCAUGAGUAUUGAAACAUUUUUAUGGAUCACACAGGUUUAACAUAUAGGAAAAAUGAGAAACUAACAGUAAAUGACAGACAGCAGAAGAUGUACAGGUUUCAUAAAUAGAAAACUCUGUACAGCCUGAGGCGUGAUUUGGAUUAAUGAUUUUGGACACCAUUCUAAGGCCCUUUCUACACCGCCAUAUAAUACCAAAACAGAUUAUUCACAUUAUCUGCUUUGAACUGCAUUAUAUGGGUCCACACUACCAUAUAACCCACUUCAAAGCAGAUAAUUUGGAUUUUAUAUGACAUUGUUGAAGGGGCUUGAGUAACCCUUGGCAAGUCUCACACUGUCAGCCUUUAAGGAAGGUAAAAAUAAAUCUUGUCAAGAAAACUCCAAGAUAGGGUUGCCUAAGGGUGCAUCUACUCUAUAGAGUUAAUGCAGUCUGACACCCCUUUGAUGGCCAUGGUUCAAUGCUAUGGAAUCCUGGGAUUUGUCUUAUGGUGAAGCACUAGCACUCUUUGGAAGAAAAUGCUAGACAGUGUAAAACGACAACUUUCACGGUUCCACAACAUUGAGCCAUAGCACUUAAAACUGCAUUAAUUCUACAUUGUAGACACACUCUAAAUCAGAGUCAAGCCAGAGUCAAGCUGGACAUGUGUAACCACAGCAACAAGAUAUGUUCAGAUGAGGUUGGUGAUUAGUUUUAAAAUAGCCUUUUAACCCAUUCAAAAGGCCCCCUUCUCUUUGCAGAACAAAGAAAAAAGAAUGACUAGCCAUCUCAUCUAAAGUAAGUCAGCCACAUGUGCCAGGAUGAAAAAUAUCUGUAACAGGGUUGUUCUAUGUUUUCCGGGCUGUAUGGCCAUGUUCCAGAAGUAUUAUCUCCUGACGUUUCGCCCACAUCUAUGGCAGGCAUCCUCAGAGAAAUGUCAGGAGAGAAUACUUCUGGAACAUGGUCAUACAGCACGGAAAAUAUACAACAACCCUGUGAUCCCGGCCAUGAAAGCCUUCGACAAUACAACAUCUGUAACGUUCUCUCACACCCCUAAAUUCAGCUGAUUUUGGGGGGUAAAUGAAAAAAAUAAUCUAAUAAUAAUUGGAAUUCAAUGCAACACUGAGAGUCAUGGUGUCGUGUGAUAAGAAAAGAUUAAACAUGGAACCAAACCUACGCAAUGCCAGAUUUUGACCUUAAUCCUAUUUGAGUCCAAAGCAGACCAGCGUUAUUGAUUCAAUUGCAUUCACCUAUGUGUUAACUGGCCAAUCAACAAGUGAUUCAGUCUAUUCCAGUGGUUUUCAACUUUUGGUCCUCUGGGUGUUUUUGGACUUCAACUCCCAGAAUUCAUAACAGCUGGUAAGCUGGCUAGGAUUUCUGGGAGUUGAAGUCAGGUAACCGUCCCUUUUAGAGUAGGGAACUGGCUCUCUUAUAUUGUCAGCACUCCCGUUUGGGGUUCUGCCUCCCCAUCACAACCACACAUGGAAACUUAAGAGCUGGCAAUAUAUUUAUCUUACAUUAAUCACAAGGUCAAUAUUACUUUUUUUAAAAUCAGGAAGAACAACAAUAUCUGAAAACCAAGAGAUCCCUUGCCCUGGCUCUUUACAUUAAAAGAAACUGACACUAGUUUAAAACCAGUUCUUUCCAUGGGAUCUUAUGGUUCUGCCCCAUAUCCCACAGGAUAUAAGACACAGUGAUUCAGGUUAAAACCAUCUCUUUCCAUAGGAUCCUAUUGUUCUGCAUCAAACCCCAUAGGAUACAAGAGACAGUGAUCGAAAUUAAAACCAUUUCUUUCUAUGAAAUUUUAUGGUUCUGUAUCAACCCCAUCUGUUUUUCAGUUGUAAACAUGGGAGUAAAGUAAGAUAAGAGGUAGGAGCUCUGAACACAAUUGUUAGUCCAUGUUCAGAGUUUCCUCCUUUCAGGACAUUUCAGCCUCUUUUCAACCCUGGAACAUCGGUGAGCUCCGUGCAUCUCCAUGCUUAAAAAGUGGUUGAAGUGUCUAUGACUGGGAAAUUUCUCAAUGUGAUAAGGUGGUAAAACACCUGGAGGACCAAAGGUUGAAAACCAUCGGUCUAUUCUAUUUGAAACUAACCAACCACAGAAUUGGUAUCUACUCUAGGUUUACUAAUCUCAAUGGCACCUUAUCUUGCUCCUCACUCUGCAUGCUACAGCACUUUAAGUGAAAUUGCUCCCUUGUUUCUUUUUAAUCAUUCUGAUUUUCUCUCUGGACCUGGUGGAAUGAUGUAUUAGUCACCCUCUGCUGUGCUGAACAAUUUAAUGUUCCGGUUUUUGAAGUAACUAUUAUGUUGUUUUUAUCUUGUAUUGCAUUGUUUUUAAAUCUUAUUGUUGUAGUGGAUUGUGUGUAUUGUAUGCUAUGUUGUUGUCAUAUUUUUCAUUGUAACCUGCCCUGAGUCCCCGCGAGGAGAUGGUGGUGGGGUAUAAAUAAAAAGUUAUUAUUAUUAUUA